rnacentral:rRNA from 1 species
CGAGCGAAUGGAUUAAGAGCUUGCUCUUAUGAAGCUUAAGCGGCGGACGGGUGAGUAACACGUGGGUAACCUGCCCAUAAGACUGGGAUAACUCCGGGAAACCGGGGCUAAUASCGGAUAASAUUUUGAASSGGAUGGUUSGAAAUUGAAAGGCGGCUUCGGCUGUCACUUAUGGAUGGACCCGCGUSGGAUUAGCUAGUUGGUGAGGUAACGGSUCACCAAGGCAACGAUGCGUAGCGACCUGAGAGGGUGAUCGGCCACACUGGGACUGAGACACGGCCCAGACUYCUACGGGAGGCAGCAGUAGGGAAUCUUSCGSAAUGGACGAAAGUCUGACGGAGCAACGSCGCGUGAGUGAUGAAGGCUUUCGGGUCGUAAAACUCUGUUGUUAGGGAAGAACAAGUGCUAGUUGAAUAAGCUGGCACCUUGACGGUACCUAACCAGAAAGCCACGGCUAACUACGUGCCAGCAGCCGCGGUAAUACGUAGGUGGCAAGCGUUAUCCGGAAUUAUUGGGCGUAAAGCGCGCGCAGGUGGUUUCUUAAGUCUGAUGUGAAAGCCCACGGCUCAACCGUGGAGGGUCAUUGGAAACUG